GGUUUGGCUGAAGGCAGUGGAGUUAUCUCAAUUGAUUGUUCACAGUUAGUUAUAGAUCCAAUACCUUAUUCUACUCUUUUCCUCCUUCUCACUACUGCACUUGACUAGUUAAAA
rnacentral:Y_RNA from 1 species